rnacentral:ribozyme from 1 species
ACAACCUAAACAAAAAGAAAACAAAAAAAUACAGAGUCAGUCAGAAAGAAGGGGGAAAGAAAGGUCUCUCUUUUCAACGAGGGGAUUUCAAAAGGAGUUUUCUUUUCUCUUUCUUCUCUCUUUCUUCUCUCUCUCUCUCUCC